rnacentral:rRNA from 1 species
UGGGGAAUCUUGCACAACGGGGGAAACCCUGAUGCAGCGACGCCGCGUGAACGAUGAAGCCCUUCGGGGUGUAAAGUUCUUUCGGCAGGGACGAUAAUGACGGUACCUGCAGAAGCAGCUGCGGCUAACUACGUGCCAGCAGCCGCGGUAAUACGUAGGCAGCAAGCGUUGUUCGGAAUUACUGGGCGUAAAGAGUGCGUAGGCGGUUGGCUAAGUUUGGUGUGAAAUCUCCCGGCUCAACUGGGAGGGUGCGCCGAAAACUGGCUGGCUAGAGUGCGGGAGAGGAUAGUGGAAUUCCUGGUGUAGCGGUGAAAUGCGUAGAUAUCAGGAGGAACACCUGAGGUGUAGACGGCUAUCUGGACCGUAACUGACGCUGAGGCACGAAAGCGUGGGGAGCAAACAG